rnacentral:rRNA from 1 species
CAAUAGCGUAUAUUAAAGUUGUUGCAGUUAAAAAGCUCGUAGUUGGAUUUCUGGCAGGAGCGUCCGGUCUCACACUCAGUGCGGGAACUUGGGUGUCUCUGGCCAUCUUUGGGGAUAUCCUGUUUGGCAUUAAGUUGUCGGGCAGGGGAUACCCAUCGUUUACUGUGAAAAAAUUAGAGUGUUUAAAGCAGGCUUAUGCCGUUGAAUAUAUUAGCAUGGAAUAAUAAGAUAGGACGUAGGUACUUUUUUGUUGGUUUGCGCACCCACGUAAUGAUUAAUAGAGACAGGCGGGGCUAUUCGUAUUGCAUUGUCAGAGGUGAAAUUCUUGGAUUUCUGCAAGACGAACUACUGCGAAAGCAUUUAGCAAGGAUGUUUUCAUUAA